rnacentral:rRNA from 1 species
UCGUGUCGUGAGAUGUUGGGUUAAGUCCCGUAACGAGCGCAACCCUUGUCCUUAGUUACCAGCACCUCGGGUGGGCACUCUAAGGAGACUGCCGGUGACAAACCGGAGGAAGGUGGGGAUGACGUCAAGUCAUCAUGGCCCUUACGGCCAGGGCUACACACGUGCUACAAUGGUCGGUACAAAGGGUUGCCAAGCCGCGAGGUGGAGCUAAUCCCAUAAAACCGAUCGUAGUCCGGAUCGCAGUCUGCAACUCGACUGCGUGAAGUCGGAAUCGCUAGUAAUCGUGAAUCAGAAUGUCACGGUGAAUACGUUCCCGGGCCUUGUACACACCGCCCGUCACACCAUGGGAGUGGGUUGCUCCAGAAGUAGCUAGUCUAACCGCAAGGGGGACGGUUACCACGGAGUGAUUCAUGACUGGGGUGAAGUCGUAACAAGGUAGCCGUAGGGGAACCUGCGGCUGGAUCACCUCCUUAA